rnacentral:rRNA from 1 species
AAGCAAGAUGAGAAAAGUCGUAACAUAGUAGGCGCAUCGGAAGAUGCGCCUGGAAAAU